rnacentral:rRNA from 14 species
CUACACCAUACCACCCUGAACGCACUGGAUCUCAUCGGAUCUCAGAAGCUAAGCAAGGUCACAGCUUUGUAGUACAGCUCGAAAUCCGGCAUUGUGAUGC